CACUCCCCAAAGGAUACAAAGACAGCCAUUCUUUCACAUCUUCACGGUCCUGGGACCUGCCUCCACACUCCAAAACAGACUGGUUUGACAUAUUUGAGUCAUGGAACCUUAGAAGGGACCUUUGAGACCAUCUAGUUCAAGCCUGAGAGUCUUUUUAUUACUACCAGGGAUUUAUGGAGCUCCAAUUUUACCUUUAUCAUACCAUGACAGAUGAGAAAACUGAGGCUGAAAGAGAUUACGUGAAUUGCUCAGGGUCCCACGGCUACUAUCUGAGGCUGCAUAUGAAUUCAAAUUUUAUUGACUCCAAGAUCAACACUCUAUCUCCCAUGCCACUUAAGUAAUUGAGAAUAAGUACUACAGGUUUUGGAUUUAUUUAUCGCUGUGAUCUAGCCUCUCUGGGCUUCAUGAAGAGUUAGAUUUUGGUAUUGUGCAAAUACAAAGAAAUAGCAAAAAAUUAUUACGUAUGAUUUUUGUGCAUGCAGUGCCAUAGCCAAAGGGAUAUGCUGCUGACAGCUAUAACAAUGGCUAGCAUUUCUAUAGUGCUUCAAGUUUUGCAAAAUGCUCUGACACAUCUCAUUUAAGUCUCAUAAACACCCAGUGAGGUAGCUAGUUACUCAGGGCAUUGUUGUUCCCAUUUCAUAGAUGAGGAAACCGAGUCUCAAAGUGGGGGUGGUGGUAAAGUGAUUUGUUUGUGGUGGUAGAGCUAGAAAGUAUCAGAGAUGGGAUUCAGACUCAGGAAAGAACAUUGGUUUUCUGCAGUCAGAAGAUCUGGAUUUAAUUCCCACCUUUGGCAUUGAGUAUAACCUCAGUAAAGUAAAUUUAACCUUCCUGAGCCUCAGUUUCUACAAUGAGAGGUUGAGCUAGAAGACCGCUGAGGUCUUUUCUACCACUUAAACUUAAGAUCCCAUGACUCAGAAUUUAGCAUUAUUCUCUAAAUCCCUGGGUCAGAGCCUUUCUACAGUUCAGUUGUACAUAAAAAGCAUUGGAACUUCAGGUAAAUAGGUUGUGUUAACAGGUGGUCUGGACCAGCGGCAGUGACUUUCUUGCCCAAUACCCUAAUGUAGAGGCCUGCAGCAUAUCAAGGCCACUCCCAGAGCCUGGAAACAGAAUCAUCCUGAGUGAAAUACUAGCUCAGAAUUGGGACUAUGAGCCAGAAGAUGUGAGGAUGCUGACAGGCAAUUUGGGAUGUUCAUAACCUCAGGAUGUCCUAAGAGAAGUGCCAGGUCCAGAAGGCCAGUGACUGAGCUUACUUAUGGCACUAUAGAAAGAAAAAAGAAGCUUCUUCAGGUAGUUGAGCUAUACUCAUUGUUGGACAGCAUUUAUACUUUGUAUGUAACUGCCAUAGAUGCUACUCUGAUGCAUACAACUUAGAGGUUUGAUAUGAAAAUGCUUCUCUUGUCAUGUUAAACAUUGUUAUAAAUGGUAGCAUACAGUGUCAUGCAUGUGUUAUAAUAUAGGUAUGGAAUGCAUUUCUGCAUGCGCACUGUGGAUUUGGUCACUAUACAACUCAAUUAUGCAAUAUCAUGUUUAAUAUUGUCUUGAGGUGUAUUAGAAUUUAAUAAUGCUAUAUUGUCCUAUAUGCUGUUGAUUCUAUGAUAUAUGCAUUAUGUUUGUCCGUGCUCUAAUACUAGUUGAAUGCAGUACUAAUGUGACUGCCGUGUCUUAGAUACCUGCAUAUAUGUUAUGUUACUUAAUGUAGCUUGGAAGAUAUAGUUCAGCUCUUAGGCACUUCCACAAAGUCUUACUCCAAUGUUUCAUGGUGGCAUGGAGAUAACCUUUCCACAGGCAAAUAAAGGCACUGAGACUCA